rnacentral:rRNA from 1 species
AAACUCCGAAUGCCGUCAUCUUAUACUUGGGAGUCAGACUGUGGGUGAUAAGAUUCAUAGUCGAAAGGGCAACAGCCCAGAUCGUCAGCUAAGGUCCCUAAAUGUAAGUUAAGUGGUAAAGGAUGUGGGAUUGCACAGACAACCAGGAUGUUGGCUUAGAAGCAGCCACUCAUUCAAAGAGUGCGUAAUAGCUCACUGGUCGAGUGAUCCUGCGCCGAAGAUUUCCGGGGCUAAAACUUACUACCGAAGCUACGGCAUCAGUAAUGAUGGGUAGGGGAGCUUCCCAUACGGGUUGAAGCAUGACCGUAAGGACAUGUGGACAGUAUGGGAGUGAGAAUGUUGGCAUGAGUAGCGAGAUGUGGGUGAGAAUCCCACAGGCCGUAAACCCAAGGUUUCCAGGGGAAGGUUCGUCCGCCCUGGGUUAGUCGGGACCUAAGCUGAGGCCGAAAGGCGUAGGUGAUGGACAACAGGUUGAUAUUCCUGUACUACCGAUAACCGUUUGAGAGAAGGGAUGACACAGUAGGAUAAGCUAAGCACACUGUUGGUUAUGUGUGCCCAAGCAUUGAGGCAGUCAAAGUAGGCAAAUCCGCUUUGAUAAUGCUGGGAUGUGAUGGGGAGCGAAAUUUAGUAGCGAAGUAGCUGAUUUCACACUGUCAAGAAAAGUCUCUAUCGAGGUUAAAGGUACCCGUACCGCAAACCGACACAGGUGGGUGAGGAGAGUAUCCUAAGGCCAGCGAGAGAACUGUUGUUAAGGAACUCGGCAAAAUGACCCCGUAACUUAGGGAUAAGGGGUGCCACCAUCAGGUGGCCGCAGAGAAUAGGCCCAAGCGACUGUUUACCAAAAACAUAGGUUUCUGCUAAGUCGCAAGACGAUGUAUAGGAGCUGACGCCUGCCCGGUGCUGGAAGGUUAAGGGGAUCUGUUAGAGCAAUCGAAGCAGUGAACUUAAGCCCCAGUAAACGGCGGCCGUAACUAUAACGGUCCUAAGGUAGCGAAAUUCCUUGUCGGGUAAGUUCCGACCCGCACGAAAGGCGUAACGAUUUGGGCACUGUCUCAACAACAGACUCGGUGAAAUUGUAAUUCCGGUGAAGAUGCCGGAUACCUGCGACAGGACGGAAAGACCCCAUGGAGCUUUACUGUAGCUUGACAUUGGGUCUUGGUACUACAUGUACAGGAUAGGUGGGAGGCUUUGAAACCAGGACGCCAGUUUUGGCGGAGCCAUCCUUGGGAUACCACCCUUGUAGUACUGGGACUCUAACCAUAGGCCAUGAAUCUGGUCUUGGGACACUGUCAGGUGGGCAGUUUGACUGGGGCGGUCGCCUCCCAAAAGGUAACGGAGGCGCUCAAAGGUUCUCUCAGUACGGUCGGAAAUCGUACGUAGAGUGUAAAGGCAAAAGAGAGCUUGAUUGCAAGACAUACAGGUCGAGCAAGGAUGAAAAUCGGACUUAGUGAUCCGGUGGUUCUGCGUGGAAGGGCCAUCGCUCAACGGAUAAAAGCUACCCUGGGGAUAACAGGCUUAUCUCCCCCAAGAGUCCACAUCGACGGGGAGGUUUGGCACCUCGAUGUCGGCUCAUCACAUCCUGGGGCUGUAGUAGGUCCCAAGGGUUGGGCUGUUCGCCCAUUAAAGUGGUACGCGAGCUGGGUUCAGAACGUCGUGAGACAGUUCGGUCCCUAUCCGUCGCAGGCGUAGGAAAUUUGAGAAGACCUGUCCUUAGUACGAGAGGACCGGGAUGGACGUACCUCUGGUGUACCAGUUGUCCUGCCAAGGGCAUGGCUGGGUAGCUAUGUACGGAAUGGAUAAGCGCUGAAAGCAUCUAAGCGCGAAGCCAACUUCAAGAUAAGAUUUCCCACCGCAAGGGUAAGACCCCAGAAAGACUAUCUGGUUGAUAGGUCGAAGGUGUAAGUGCAGCAAUGUAUUUAGCUUAUCGAUACUAAUAGGUCGAGGACUUGACCAA